rnacentral:rRNA from 1 species
UACGAAGGGUCCGAGCGUUGUUCGGAAUCACUGGGCUUAAAGCGCACGUAGGCGGAAGAGUAAGUGUCUUGUGAAAUCCCCCGGCUCAACCGGGGAACUGCUCGGCAAACUACUCUUCUUGAGACAAGUAGGGGUACAUGGAACUCUAGGUGGAGCGGUGAAAUGCGUAGAUAUCUAGAGGAACGCCAGCGGAGAAAUCGGUGUACUGGGCUUGUACUGACGCUGAGGUGCGAAAGCGUGGGUAGCGAACGGG